UUUACCUGAAUGCAAAUGAGGGCUAAAUAACUACAAGCUACUGUUUAAAGUGGAAAAGUAUAACACAAGUGCAGGGGACUAAUUCUGCCAACACCACUAACACCAGUCCUCCAAAACCCUAAUGAUACACUCAGAACAAGCAAACCAGUAGAUCUGAUUACCAAUUUCACAUAUCCUGCAUUCCUGGAGCUCACCAAUUUCAUCAUUUCCGGACACUCAGACUCUAACUAGGAACACCUAACUCACAGCCCUGUAUUUUGCUAAGUUUUUCCUCUACUCUUGAGUCCCCCUUUAAUCUAUAGGGUGUUAUUCUACACAGGACCUCUUUCUUAUUUUUUGGAGUCUAGCAUCUUGCAUCUUCCUGGAGCCCCAACUAAACUCAUAACUUCUAAGCUUCUAAGAAAUAUAUGAUGAGCUCCAUGAGGGCCAAGGCUGUCCUUUCUUGUUCACCACUACACACUCAAGAGCAUGCUGGCUGUGCUAGUCCCAUCCUCAACAGAAUAAUUGCUGACAAACUCUCUUGCCCAGACAAUGUCUAUUGGAAUUAUGGAGUACAAAAAAACUACAAAAGCAAUGAAAAAAAAGAAGGAUGUUUUAUUUACAUCCUAUUUCAAAACCAUUGCUUUCUUGCUAUUGUAUGUCUCUGCAGGCCCAAUAUCGCGCAUCUGCAUAAGAAGUUUAGAAUUGUUCCUUAUGUUUCCUUCUAACAAACACUGGUAUAUUCACUUGAAAGUGUAUAUUUUAUUCACUUCCAAAACAGUUAGCUCAUAAUUCGGAACAUUGAGGUUUGCAAAAUGACUGAAGGAAACUUUACCGAAACAAUAGUUGCCAGUUCUGCUGAGAAUUAUCACAGGCCCACAACGGCCGUGUAUUUUUCCUACAGAUAUUCUAAUUUUUUUUUAUUAUGCAGCUAAUUUUUUUUUAGACUCAUGAAUAAAAUAGCAAGUCAGUCUGUGCAUAAGCACAUGUUUAAAUCUACCAGGAGAAAUGUCUGGAAUCUUCUUGGUUAUUAAAAUUAAAAUUAAGAAUAACGAAAGGCAUAUGCAACUUAUUGUAUUCUUUAUAUAACUUAUUUCAUCUAGUCCUCCAAAUAGCUAUCUAACAUAUUUAUCCCCACCUUACAUA